UUGAUUUGCACCCUCUUUCUUUCUUCUUUGUGAUCUAAUUUAGUCCAUGUUUGAAUCUUGUAUGAACAGUAACUUUUUUUGAAAAACUUGUAAUUAUUUGUAUUUCGACUUUUAAAUGUUUUUAAAAAUGAUUAAAGGUUACUUUGAUGUUACUAGAAUAUUUGGUUGCAGACGACUCAAUUGAGUAUAAAUUUAUUGCAAAAAAAUGGAAUUUUGAAGGCAAAAAGUCAGUUUUUGCUUCUUUUUUUUUUUUUUUAAUGCUGGUUUUUCAAAGUCAAUUUCUGAGUUUCAAAGCUUAUAGAUAAGUUGGACAAGCAGUCUGAAUGGGGACUUAAAAUAGUCUAAGAUGGCAAGUAUUGGAACCACUCAAGCAAUCAAGCCACUGUUUGAGUGCAUCAGCAUCACAAUACUUUCUUUUUUUGAGUUCUUGAAUUGUGUGGAAGCAUUUGUAGGUAACUUUCAAAUAUCAUACUAUUGUGAUGAUAAUCGUGAAAACAAUUUCGUUGUGUACAUAACUAUUUCUCGGUCCAAAAUGGAACUGAAAACAAUUUAGUUUCACUUUAAUUAUUUGAAAAUAGCUCCACCAAAAUUCUCCCCAUUUAAACAUCUCUAUUGGUAUGACAACUCUGCAUUAUGCUUUUUUUAUUUUAUUUUUACAUUUGCUACUUGAUUCUGUACUGAUUUGUGAAAAUCUAAAAUGGUGUGUGAGCGACCUGCAAGUUUUAUUUAACAAAUAUGCCAUAUUAAUGUGUUGAAAGUUCUGUAAUUUUUGCCUUCUGUGGA